CCCUGGCUGGCUCAGUUGUUAGAGCACGGGGCUCUUGAUCUCAGGGUCAUGGGUUCUGAACCCAUGUUGGGUA
rnacentral:tRNA from 1 species